rnacentral:misc_RNA from 1 species
GUUCGAGCGUCAUUUCAACCAAUCAAGCCUCGGCUUGGUCUUGGGGUUUGCGGUCCCGCAUCUCCUAAACUCAGUGGCGGUGCGAUUGAGCUCUGAGCGUAGUAAAUUUUCUCGCUAUAGGGUCUUGGUCGUUACUUGCCAGCAACCCCCAAUUUUAUUAGGUUGACCUCGGAUCAGGUAGGGAUACCCGCUGAACUUAA